rnacentral:tRNA from 1 species
GAGGUUGUGGCUCAGAGGUAGAGUGCUUGCCUGGCAUGCACGGGGCACUGGGUUUGAUCCUCAGCACCACA